CAACCACAAUACUUGCAGCUGGAGGAGUGUGGACCGACCACAUUGCUGUGUUAGCAGUAACGUCCUUUCACAGCCACACAUCAGCGCAACGUUUUGAGGUGCACACUCGGCAUUUCAGCUCAGCACCUCACUUUGCUACUGUGCACAGGUAUUACAAAUGGCUUGCUUCAGGAGGAGAUGAAUCAUGUCCUAAAUAUUGACUCUGCGGACUUGAUAAGCAUUGACUGUAAGGGAGUGUAGGCUGMCUAGCUAAUGUAAAUGUCUGCAUUUACUCAGUACCACGUUUGGAGAGGUGACAUUAACUGCUCAGGCUGCAGAAGGCUGAAGAGCAGACUGAGGACUUCGAUGUCAAGGAUGGAGGCUGCUGAGAAAUAUUUGCUUUUAACAAUUCUGGUCGCCAUURCUUUACAUGAUCAUCUUGAGAGAAAGGGAGGGAGCUUUACAGAUGGAAAGGAGGUGGAGACUGGAGGUGGACGUGGGCAGACUUGGGCAGACCAUGGUCCAACAAGGAAUCUGGCUCCUACUCAGCUCAUUCAGAAGAUGAACAGCAGGAAUUUCAGUGUGUUUGAAGAGAAAGCAGGGGGCAGUCCAGGAAUGCAGUAUAGGACAACACUGAAACCCAACUUCUUGAGUCAUUAGAAGUAUGAUGAGCUUCUAUCCAAGCACAGGGAUUAAAGUGGGCUGGAGAUAUUUCAGAAUGAGGGUCAAUGGACACAAACCGAAACAGAAAAUUCAACUUAAACAUGAGUUCAACAAAUGUGUGGGAAAAACCCAGGUUAUUUGUAUCAAAGUUGUCCAUGAACACAGGUCACUUUAUUCCACAAUGAGGCAARUUAAGUUGCAACAGAUUUACAAACAGAGACAAGAUCUUGGCUGCAUGGUAUAAGUGAUUGCUUCCAGGAAUGAACUUUCAGCUUCAUUAUUUUCAAGCAUCAUCCUGAACCAAAUGGGAUAGUAACGCAUUUCUUCUAUGUGGAAUGAAAAAGGUGCUCUCAGCCCAUCUAUACCCAACCACCUGGAAGUUUCCUGACAAAUGAAAAUGCAUCCAAAUGUCAUAAAUAAUAUUAUUUCUGCUAAGGCAACAAACACAACUGCUGUUGAUUUCCUGAGUCUGAACUUGUCCUUUUUGCUUUCUUUAAGUGUUUAUUUCCGAGAUGUGAACCACAUUUUUGAUAAAAAGAAUAUUGAAAUGYUGCUUAAAAUAAAAGAUAUUUCACAAUGUGCUGCA
rnacentral:lncRNA from 1 species